rnacentral:rRNA from 1 species
UAGGGAAUCUUCGGCAAUGGGGGCAACCCUGACCGAGCAACGCCGCGUGAGUGAAGAAGGUUUUCGGAUCGUAAAGCUCUGUUGUAAGUCAAGAACGAGUGUGAGAGUGGAAAGUUCACACUGUGACGGUAGCUUACCAGAAAGGGACGGCUAACUACGUGCCAGCAGCCGCGGUAAUACGUAGGUCCCGAGCGUUGUCCGGAUUUAUUGGGCGUAAAGCGAGCGCAGGCGGUUUGAUAAGUCUGAAGUUAAAGGCUGUGGCUCAACCAUAGUUCGCUUUGGAGACUGUCAAACUUGAGUGCAGAAGGGGAGAGUGGAAUUCCAUGUGUAGCGGUGAAAUGCGUAGAUAUAUGGAGGAACACCGGUGGCGAAAGCGGCUCUCUGGUCUGUAACUGACGCUGAGGCUCGAAAGCGUGGGGAGCGAACAGGAUUAGAUACCCUGGUAGUCCACGCCGUAAACGAUGAGUGCUAGGUGUUGGAUCCUUUCCGGGAUUCAGUGCCGCAGCUAACGCAUUAAGCACUCCGCCUGGGGAGUACGACCGCAAGGUUG